UGCAGCUGUGGACCAACACUGCCUGCUGGGUCGAAAAUACUAAUUCGACACAAAGUUUAGAAGAUGUUUCCCAAAUCGACCAAGAGGUGUCUCUCGCUCUCAUGAUCAGUCUGCAGAGGUGGUUGAGCCUGUCACAGCAGCUGGCUUCGGUUGGCGGUAGAGAGAGCGAGUUGGAGGAGGUCGGGUGCUCCGUGUCUGGCCUUUGUGGAGAGGGGCGAGAGUUCGGUCACGUGACGAAGGCCAUCUUGCGAUCUGUUUGGAAAUACGGUGAAGGUAUUGCUCAUGGCCUAGUUCAUGGACCUACUCGGAACACAUAAAGGUGAAUUUCAGAAAACUGUAAAUUAUCAUCAAUGGAAAUUAAUAAAAGUGAAGCUUAUCCGACUUUCAUAUACCGAGAACGCUUACAAUAAAGAGCCACUGGG